GCAUCUUUCUCCCUACUUCCUCCAGCUGGCUGGUUCAAUACCUAAACUAUAAUACUAUUUAGCUUAAAUUUAAUUUCCAGGUUUUCACAGGAAUUAGAGUUAUAUUUGACUGAAUUGAAGGUGCUUUCAUUUUAUUGCCUACUUAAUUAAUGGAGAUAAAUACAGAUAUGGUUUCCUGGGUACAUUCUUAAUCAAAGGCAGACUUCAUUUCAAGGUGUUUAAAGCCUCUUUGUAAACUUCAAUUACUGUAAUUCAACAUUGAGGAAUACUGCCUUUCAGAAUGCUUUUACAUUACAGUGAGCAUAUAUUGAACACUUUUCAAGAGAUCAGGUUCACUGGCGACCUACAUUCUUGACUUUCAGAGAUCCCUGCAUUAGUCUCUUUAUUAUAAUCUUUAUAUUUAAUCAUGGUUGAUUGAUUUUCAUUAUUUAUACUUUCCUUUACAAGACUGUAGGUAGACAUCUAUCACAAACUAUGGU
rnacentral:lncRNA from 1 species